GUAUGUGCCUACAUCAUAGUGUUAAUGCACCAGAUCCCAUUAGAACUCCACAACAAGGGAGCUCAUGCUAGAGUAGUAUUGGGAUGGGUGAUCGCCCAAGAAGUCCUAGUGUUUUACAUGCC
rfam:Picea glauca, whole genome shotgun sequence.